rnacentral:rRNA from 1 species
GAUUGCGGCAGGCCUACACAUGCAGUCGAGCGGUAGCACAGAGAGCUUGCUCUCGGGUGACGAGCGGCGGACGGGUGAGUAAUGUCUGGGAAACUGCCUGAUGGAGGGGGAUAACUACUGGAAACGGUAGCUAAUACCGCAUAAUGUCGCAAGACCAAAGAGGGGGACCUUCGGGCCUCUUGCCAUCAGAUGUGCCCAGAUGGGAUUAGCUAGUAGGUGGGGUAACGGCUCACCUAGGCGACGAUCCCUAGCUGGUCUGAGAGGAUGACCAGCCACACUGGAACUGAGACACGGUCCAGACUCCUACGGGAGGCAGCAGUGGGGAAUAUUGCACAAUGGGCGCAAGCCUGAUGCAGCCAUGCCGCGUGUAUGAAGAAGGCCUUCGGGUUGUAAAGUACUUUCAGCGGGGAGGAAGGUGUUGAGGUUAAUAACCUCAGCAAUUGACGUUACCCGCAGAAGAAGCACCGGCUAACUCCGUGCCAGCAGCCGCGGUAAUACGGAGGGUGCAAGCGUUAAUCGGAAUUACUGGGCGUAAAGCGCACGCAGGCGGUCUGUCAAGUCGGAUGUGAAAUCCCCGGGCUCAACCUGGGAACUGCAUUCGAAACUGGCAGGCUAGAGUCUUGUAGAGGGGGGUAGAAUUCCAGGUGUAGCGGUGAAAUGCGUAGAGAUCUGGAGGAAUACCGGUGGCGAAGGCGGCCCCCUGGACAAAGACUGACGCUCAGGUGCGAAAGCGUGGGGAGCAAACAGGAUUAGAUACCCUGGUAGUCCACGCCGUAAACGAUGUCGACUUGGAGGUUGUGCCCUUGAGGCGUGGCUUCCGGAGCUAACGCGUUAAGUCGACCGCCUGGGGAGUACGGCCGCAAGGUUAAAACUCAAAUGAAUUGACGGGGGCCCGCACAAGCGGUGGAGCAUGUGGUUUAAUUCGAUGCAACGCGAAGAACCUUACCUACUCUUGACAUCCAGAGAACUUUCCAGAGAUGGAUUGGUGCCUUCGGGAACUCUGAGACAGGUGCUGCAUGGCUGUCGUCAGCUCGUGUUGUGAAAUGUUGGGUUAAGUCCCGCAACGAGCGCAACCCUUAUCCUUUGUUGCCAGCGGUCCGGCCGGGAACUCAAAGGAGACUGCCAGUGAUAAACUGGAGGAAGGUGGGGAUGACGUCAAGUCAUCAUGGCCCUUACGAGUAGGGCUACACACGUGCUACAAUGGCGCAUACAAAGAGAAGCGACCUCGCGAGAGCAAGCGGACCUCAUAAAGUGCGUCGUAGUCCGGAUUGGAGUCUGCAACUCGACUCCAUGAAGUCGGAAUCGCUAGUAAUCGUAGAUCAGAAUGCUACGGUGAAUACGUUCCCGGGCCUUGUACACACCGCCCGUCACACCAUGGGAGUGGGUUGCAAAAGAAGUAGGUAGCUUAACCUUCGGGAGGGCGCUUACCAACUUUGAUAAAUGA